AAACCAUGCACCGAAGCUGCGGCAGCGACACUGUGUGUUGUUGGGUAGGGGAGCGUUCUGUAAGCCUGCGAAGGUGGCCUGUGAGGGUUGCUGGAGGUAUCAGAAGUGCGAAUGCUGACAUAAGUAACGAUAAAGCGGGUGAAAAGCCCGCUCGCCGGAAGACCAAGGGUUCCUGUCCAACGUUAAUCGGGGCAGGGUGAGUCGACCCCUAAGGCGAGGCCGAAAGGCGUAGUCGAUGGGAAACGGGUUAAUAUUCCCGUACUUGGUGUUACUGCGAAGGGGGGACGGAGAAGGCUAUGUUGGCCGGGCGACGGUUGUCCCGGUUUAAGCGUGUAGGUGUGUGUUCCAGGUAAAUCCGGUUCACUUUAACACUGAGGCGUGACGACGAGGCACUACGGUGCUGAAGCAACAAAUGCCCUGCUUCCAGGAAAAGCCUCUAAGCAUCAGGUAACAUCAAAUCGUACCCCAAACCGACACAGGUGGUCAGGUAGAGAAUACCAAGGCGCUUGAGAGAACUCGGGUGAAGGAACUAGGCAAAAUGGUGCCGUAACUUCGGGAGAAGGCACGCUGACACGUAGGUGAAGUGAUUUACUCAUGGAGCUGAAGUCAGUCGAAGAUACCAGCUGGCUGCAACUGUUUAUUAAAAACACAGCACUGUGCAAACACGAAAGUGGACGUAUACGGUGUGACGCCUGCCCGGUGCCGGAAGGUUAAUUGAUGGGGUCAGCGCAAGCGAAGCUCCUGAUCGAAGCCCCGGUAAACGGCGGCCGUAACUAUAACGGUCCUAAGGUAGCGAAAUUCCUUGUCGGGUAAGUUCCGACCUGCACGAAUGGCGUAAUGAUGGCCAGGCUGUCUCCACCCGAGACUCAGUGAAAUUGAACUCGCUGUGAAGAUGCAGUGUACCCGCGGCAAGACGGAAAGACCCCGUGAACCUUUACUAUAGCUUGACACUGAACAUUGAGCCUUGAUGUGUAGGAUAGGUGGGAGGCUUUGAAGUGUGGACGCCAGUCUGCAUGGAGCCGACCUUGAAAUACCACCCUUUAAUGUUUGAUGUUCUAACGUGGACCCGUUACCCGGGUUGCGGACAGUGUCUGGUGGGUAGUUUGACUGGGGCGGUCUCCUCCUAAAGAGUAACGGAGGAGCACGAAGGUUGGCUAAUCCUGGUCGGACAUCAGGAGGUUAGUGCAAUGGCAUAAGCCAGCUUGACUGCGAGCGUGACGGCGCGAGCAGGUGCGAAAGCAGGUCAUAGUGAUCCGGUGGUUCUGAAUGGAAGGGCCAUCGCUCAACGGAUAAAAGGUACUCCGGGGAUAACAGGCUGAUACCGCCCAAGAGUUCAUAUCGACGGCGGUGUUUGGCACCUCGAUGUCGGCUCAUCACAUCCUGGGGCUGAAGUAGGUCCCAAGGGUAUGGCUGUUCGCCAUUUAAAGUGGUACGCGAGCUGGGUUUAGAACGUCGUGAGACAGUUCGGUCCCUAUCUGCCGUGGGCGCUGGAGAACUGAGGGGGGCUGCUCCUAGUACGAGAGGACCGGAGUGGACGCAUCACUGGUGUUCGGGUUGUCAUGCCAAUGGCACUGCCCGGUAGCUAAAUGCGGAAGAGAUAAGUGCUGAAAGCAUCUAAGCACGAAACUUGCCCCGAG
rnacentral:rRNA from 1 species